GCCCCUAUAGCUUAAUGGAAGAGCGCUAAUUAUGUAUACCAGACGUCUGUAGUUCGAGUCUCCAUUGCUGCC
rnacentral:tRNA from 1 species